rnacentral:rRNA from 1 species
AUUGAACGCUGGCGGCACGCCUAACACAUGCAAGUCGAGCGGCAGCGAGAGUAGUAGCAAUACUACUUGUCGGCAAGCGGCGGAUGGGUGAGGAACACGUAGGAAUCUACCCUCAAGCGGGGGACAACUAAGGGAAACUUUGGCUAAUACCGCAUAAACUCGAGAGAGGAAAGUUGCUCGUAAGGGUGACACUUGAGGAGGAGCCUGCGUCUGAUUAGCUAGUUGGUAGGGUAAAAGCCUACCAAGGCGAUGAUCGGUAACUGGUCUGAGAGGACGACCAGUCACACUGGGACUGAGACACGGCCCAGACUCCUACGGGAGGCAGCAGUGGGGAACUAUUGGACAAUGGGGGCAACCCUGAUCCAGCGAUGCCGCGUGAGUGAAGAAGGCCCUUCGGGUCGUAAAGCUCUUUAGGUUGGGAAGAAGAGUGGUGGAGGAAAUGCCAUUACUUUGACGGUACCGACAGAAUAAGCACCGGCAAACUCUGUGCCAGCAGCCGCGGUAAUACAGAGGGUGCGAGCGUUAAUCGGAGUUACUGGGCGUAAGGGCGCGUAGGCGGUAAGAUGGGUGUGAUGUGAAAGCCCCGGGCUUAACCUGGGAAGUGCAUAACAAACUAUCUAACUAGAGUAUAAGAGAGGGUGGCGGAAUUU